AGACUAGAUCGAUAGGGCUGCACAGAGGUGGCACAGUUGUGCCAGAGGUAGCAGGGACAGGAGGGCUGGCAAGGGAGGGUCCAGGGCUAGGGGAUUCGGAGUGGCUUCAGGCGGACCACGUGGCUACCUUUUUUCCAGGGCCAGACUUUGGCAGCGUGUAAGGUCUGAGGACAGGGGCACCGGAGGCCGAGGAUGAGAGGCCAGUGCCUGUUUCCAGGCAGCCAGGGCCUCAGAAACUCCGGCCGGAGCACUCACCCGUCGGUGGAGGCCGUUACCAGGGCCACCUUAUUUGCGAGCGGGUCCCGGCGGGUCAUCCCGGAGCUGGCCAUCCGCACCGAAUUCCAAGCCCGGGCACAGAGGCCUAGCAGCCCCGCCUUGUGCAUGGAUCAGACCAGCAAAAUUCCUUCUCCAAGAAAGUCUGGGUCUAUGUGUGUGACAGCCCACAGGAGGGCAAAUGUUUUGAGACUGCCCAUGGAGGUGAGGCCUGUGGUCGCCAUGGAGUCCACCAGGUGAGGCUGGAAGAGCCUGGGAGAGAGACGUGAUAGGGAGUAGCUGCGCCAGGCCUGGCACUGCCCUUCACUCUGCCCAAGGUCUCUUCCAUCUUCACGGGCCCUGGAGGGCAGACUAUGGUCAUUGGCCAAACAGCAUUCUCAUGUCCGUUGACAAAGGGACUUCCUCCUUUACAGGGGCUAAGUGGUAGCGAGGAGGCUGGACAGUCCCUCAAGCAGUGGUGGAAAUGCAAAGAACUCGGGGCACUCAAGUUCUCCCUAACCACUCUGUCCCCAGGUCUUAGCCGCCAUCUUAGUUCAAUAAAUAUUUGUUGAAUGC
rnacentral:lncRNA from 1 species